UACGUAGGGGGCAAGCGUUGUUCGGAUUCAUUGGGCGUAAAGGGUGCGUAGGCGGCGCGGUAAGUCGGAUGUGAAAUCUCGGAGCUUAACUCCGAAACUGCAUUCGAUACUGCCGUGCUUGAGGACUGGAGAGGAGACUGGAAUUUACGGUGUAGCGGUGAAAUGCGUAGAUAUCGUAAGGAAGACCAGUGGCGAAGGCGGGUCUCGUGGACAGUUCCUGACGCUGAGGCACGAAGGCCAGGGGAGCAAACGGG
rnacentral:rRNA from 1 species